UACGUAGGGUCCGAGCGUUGUCCGGAAUUAUUGGGCGUAAAGAGCUCGUAGGCGGCUUGUCGCGUCGACUGUGAAAUCCCGCGGCUCAACUGCGGGUCUGCAGUCGAUACGGGCAGGCUAGAGUUCGGUAGGGGAGACUGGAAUUCCUGGUGUAGCGGUGAAAUGCGCAGAUAUCAGGAGGAACACCGAUGGCGAAGGCAGGUCUCUGGGCCGAUACUGACGCUGAGGAGCGAAAGCGUGGGGAGCGAACAGG
rnacentral:rRNA from 1 species